GAAGCCGUAUUCCCGAUGGCUAGUGUUUAAUGACUACAGGUUUCCAGGCUCCCUUUAAUCUUGGGAGCAAAUAAAUCUACUAUUGGACUUCUCCCUGCGUGACUUUUAACAUUUCUGAUACUCUCUCUUCUUCCUCUUUACAGAAGAGAGGUAUGAUAACUGAAGUUGUACUUUGCAUAUUGAAGUUUAAAGAUACUUCCUCUCCCCUUUUCACCCCUAUU
rnacentral:lncRNA from 1 species